AGCUUUGCGCAGUGGCAAUAUCAUAACCAAUGAGGGUCUCCCGAGGUGUGAUUAUUGCUAGUUGAAAACUUUAACCAAUACCCCCGCCACGAUGAAGUGAAAUAAUCUUUGUCGUCGGCAAUUUUUGAUAGCUCCAUCAGGAG
rnacentral:snRNA from 1 species